UACGUAGGGAGCAAGCGUUGUCCGGAAUCAUUGGGCGUAAAGCGCGCGUAGGUGGUCCCGUAAGUCCGCUGUGAAAAGUCAAAGGCUCAACCUUUGAAAGCCGGUGGAUACUGUGGGACUAGAGUACGGAAGAGGCGAGUGGAAUUCCUGGUGUAGCGGUGGAAUGCGCAGAUAUCAGGAGGAACACCAAUAGCGAAGGCAGACUCGCUGGGAC
rnacentral:rRNA from 1 species